ACAUGCCUAAAGCAUUGCGUCAAUGCACCGGAUAUCAUUAGAACUCUGUAGUUAAGCAUGCUUAGGCUAGGGUAGUACUGGGAUGGGUGACCGCCCGGGAAGUACCAGUGUUUCACAUGCC
rfam:Picea glauca, whole genome shotgun sequence.